rnacentral:rRNA from 1 species
UGCGUAGGCGGUUCGUCAAGUCUGAUGUGAAAGCCCCGGGCUCAACCUGGGAACUGCAUUGGAAACUAGCGAGCUUGAGUGUGGCAGAGGGGGGUGGAAUUCCACGUGUAGCAGUGAAAUGCGUAGAGAUGUGGAGGAACACCGAUGGCGAAGGCAGCCCCCUGGGCUAACACUGACGCUCAGGCACGAAAGCGUGGGAGCAAACA